GAUGAAGAACGCAGCGAAAUGCGAUAAGUAAUGUGAAUUGCAGAAUUCAGUGAAUCAUCGAAUCUUUGAACGCACAUUGCGCCCCUUGGUAUUCCGAGGGGCAUGCCUGUUCGAGCGUCAUUAUCACCCCUCAAGCUUUGCUUGGUGUUGGGGCCUGCUGUAAUAGGCAGCCCUUAAAAUCAGUGGCGGUGCUUCAAGGCUCUAAGCGUAGUAAUUCUCCUCGCUAUAGUGUCUAGUGGUUGCCAGCCAGAACCCCCCAUUUUUUAUGAUUGACCUCGGAUCAGGGAGGGAUACCCGCUGAACUUAAGCAUAUCAAUAAGCGGAGGA
rnacentral:misc_RNA from 1 species